GUCCCGCUACAGUGUCUCGGGCCUACCAACAGCAAUACAUCCACCACCAUGACAACACCUGAAUUGCAGACUCUCCAAAAAACGACGCCUCCAUGAAGGGAACAGUGCUCCAACACCGUCGUCGCCCGAUCAAAGAUCUUAGGUUUUCACCCUGAAGAUAGUCCCCACUCUCAAAACAAUGCCUCCACCAAGGUCACUGCCAGGCACAACCAGUUAAGGCCAGACCUUGGGUUUUCACCCUGAAAGGUAGGACUCUGCGCUUCACAUGUGUUGUCGCCCCCACUUUCAUACCGCUGCUGUGAAGCCCAGACACCAAGCAAGCCCCUAAACAGCGCGGAGACUUGAACCUCCCUUAGCUAGUCCUCCC